UGACAUCAAAUUUGUAAGUCACUCUGGAUAAGAGCGUCUGCUAAAUUACGUAAA
rfam:Salmo salar isolate Sally breed double haploid chromosome ssa01, whole genome shotgun sequence.